rnacentral:rRNA from 1 species
UACAGAGGUCUCAAGCGUUGUUCGGAUUCAUUGGGCGUAAAGGGUGUGUAGGUGGCGCGCUAAGUCGGGUGUGAAAUUUCGGGAGCUUAACUCCGAAACUGCAUUCGAUACUGGCGUGCUUGAGGACUGGAGAGGAGACUGGAAUUCAUGGUGUAGCAGUGAAAUGCGUAGAGAUCAUGAGGAAGACCAGUGGCGAAGGCGGGUCUCUGGACAGUUCCUGACACUGAGACACGAAGGCCAGGGGAGCAAACGGG